UACGAAGGGGGCUAGCGUUGUUCGGAAUUACUGGGCGUAAAGCGCGCGCAGGCGGUUCGAUAAGUUGGGGGUGAAAUCCCCGGGCUCAACCCGGGGAAUGGCCUUCAAGACUGUCGAUCUUGAGGACGAGAGAGGUGAGUGGAAUUCCCAGUGUAGAGGUGAAAUUCGUAGAUAUUGGGAAGAACACCGGUGGCGAAGGCGGCUCACUGGCUCGUUUCUGACGCUGAGGAGCGAAAGCGUGGGGGAGCGAACAGG
rnacentral:rRNA from 1 species